rnacentral:lncRNA from 1 species
ACAGGCUUGCGUAAGAAAACCCAAGGAUGGGAACAGCUCUUGUGCUUCAAGAAGAAACCUCCAGCUGGCCUCAGAGGAGGAAAUCCACUGGAAACAAGAAGUGAGAGAGAAGUGGGGGCGCUGACAGGCACCACGAAAAUUUGCAUCGAGAGCAUUUUUCUGGGGGUGCUGGACAGAAGGAUGGAGAAAGCAAAACCUCCUCUUCUGUGUCCUUUGCUCCUCUGCAGAACCAGCAUGUCAGUGCCUUCCAUCAAGAGCAACUUUGACAUCCUGGCUUUACAGGAAGAGCUCCAGGCAUGGCUUUUUGGGGGAGUGUUUAACAAUUUUGCUUUUCUCUGCAGACUCAGAGGUCGACUGUGGCCAAGACAAGACCCUGAGCAAGGUGGGCACCAGGGCUCUUGGCUGAUGGGUCUUGCUCAUACACUCAAAGCCAUUAUCAGUGCCCACUUUGCAGAAGGGAAACUGAGGCAGAAAGUCUCCAUCCCAUGGUGAGUCCAGGUGAAGAAACCAGCAGUCCUGGCCCAUGGGGAGCCCUGUUGCAACCACUUGGCCACGCCGCCUGCACCCUUUGCCUGCCUGCAAAGCUAGAAGGGUUGUUGGCUCCUGGCAGGAAAGGAAACCUCCCAAGAUCCCUCGGAAAAUGAUGGGUUUUGGUGCUCCAGUGAAAGGUUAUCUCAUCAGGCACCAUGCCAGGCUCUUGGUGACGUGCGUGGGUCUGUCACAUGCCGCCAGCCACCCGGGACCCAUUUUUUCCUGGUAACCCUGUUUUUCCCUGGUCUUGGCUUUGUUUAUACAUGAGCCUCAAGGGGGAAAUGGAAAUAGGAGGACAACUGGUGGAACUGGAAAUCAGGGUCAUUUGUAAGGCGCCGGGGCAGGAAGGGCAAAGUGCUGGGAGGGUUUUCUGAGGGUCAGUGGUGAGGACCUGUGGACCAUGUGAGACGGGUACCUAAGAGCCAGCCUGGGCCUGUUUUGGAUAUGGGGGGAACUGGAAACAUGUUUUAUUUCAUUUUAAUUUAUUUAUAAAAGCUGAACAGGAUGAGGAAGCCGAGGAAACAGGGAGUUUCCCACGGGCAGGAGGGACACGCUGCACCAUCCAUCCCAGCACCAUCCCACUCGGGACCUCUCCGUUUGUUGGAUGAGGCCAGACCGGGGAGGAAACCAGUCUGGAUCAGGCUGCACUGGUUCUUGAUGCCAUCUCGUGGUCUGGGAAGGCUUUGCAAAGGGAUGCGUGUGGAGGAGCAGAUUUGCUUGGGUAGGCAGAAAACUGCAGGGUCAACCAGCUCCUGCUGUUGAUUCCCUGAGCAUCACAAAAGCUGGCCCCGGCCCCAUCACUUUGAAGAGAUUUCAUUCCUAGAGGAUGAUUUCCACCACCUCAUCCCAUGUCUGUUUGGGAAUUGCCACCUUGAAUACCUUCAAGGAGCUGGGACAUCUUACCUCAUCUCAUUUUAAGAUCUUACAGGGAAAGGUCCCUCACCCCAGCGUCCCUCCAAGG